AACGAACGCUUGCGGCGCGCCUAAUACAUGCAAGUCGAGCGAGAAAGUUCUUCGGAAUGAGUACAGCGGCGGACGGGUGAGGAACACGUAGACAAUCUGCCUUAAAGUGGGGAAUAGCUACUCGAAAGAGUAAUUAAUACCGCAUAAGACCACAAGAUCUGAGGAUCAAGGGGUUAAAGGAGCUAUUCGCUUUAAGAUGAGUCUGCGUCCGAUUAGCUAGUUGGUGAGGUAAUGGCUCACCAAGGCGAUGAUCGGUAACUGGUCUGAGAGGAUGGCCAGUCACACUGGAACUGAGACACGGUCCAGACUCCUACGGGUGGCAGCAGUCGAGAAUAAUUCACAAUGGACGGAAGUCUGAUGGUGCAACGCCGCGUGGAGGAUGACGGUCUUCGGAUUGUAAACUCCUGUCAUCCGGGAGUAAGACCUGGCUGUGAAUAGCAGACAGGGUUGAUAGUACCGGAAGAGGAAGGGACGGCUAACUUCGUGCCAGCAGCCGCGGUAA
rnacentral:rRNA from 1 species